rnacentral:lncRNA from 1 species
AACAGACCAGUCAAUUUGUUGCUAAUUGUGUUCCUUCCUUGUGUUUUGUGGUUGACAGUUCCGUGCGGGCGGUGAAGCUCACAAAGGACCUGUGGUUACAGCUCAAGAAGCUCAGGCUCAGGCCAUCCUGUCUCAGGCUAGGCUGGCAAUGAGAGGUCCACCAGGGCCAGUGGGAUUGGCAGGAAGAUCUGGUCCUGUGGGAGGUCCUGGUGCUCCUGGACUAAAAGGUGAUAGUGGGGACCAUGGACCACCGGGACCCAGAGGUCUUCAGGGUCCAACUGGGCCUCCAGGAAAGGCAGGAAAGAGGGUAAGAAUACUUUUUAUCCUAGCUCAACAGAGACGUUUUUAUACAUUAUUACGUGUAUUAUUUUAUCCCCAAUAGAGUAACAUUGUGUUGCAACAGAACAU